GCCGAGCUGAGUCACGUUAGCUUGUGACCCAAGUGGGGGCACUAAGGUGGUGGAACAGCUCAUUGGCUUUGCUGGGUUGGACUGUGGCUGCAAUAAGUUGGCCUGCCCACUCCAAGUUGAGAAUUGAAUCAUGGGACUUAAAGCGAAGGCAUAGGUCUCCUGGUUCUUAGAGUGGAGGGCACUGCGUGAGGCUGGUUUCACAGAACAGCGAACACCUCCCAUUCCCAACAGUGGAGGGAUAACAGGUUGCUGCAACCACAGUCCACCAUGGCCUGGUGAGCCUAGAUGCUUGGACCAUCACUUUU
rnacentral:SRP_RNA from 12 species